GACGAACGCUGGCGGCGUGCCUAAUACAUGCAAGUUGAGCGCUGAAGGUUGGUACUUGUACCAACUGGAUGAGCAGCGAACGGGUGAGUAACGCGUGGGGAAUCUGCCUUUGAGCGGGGGACAACAUUUGGAAACGAAUGCUAAUACCGCAUAAAAACUUUAAACACAAGUUUUAAGUUUGAAAGAUGCACUUGCAUCACUCAAAGAUGAUCCCGCGUUGUAUUAGCUAGUUGGUGAGGUAAAGGCUCACCAAGGCGAUGAUACAUAGCCGACCUGGGAGGGUGAUCGGCCACGUUGAGACUGAGAAACGGCCCAAACUCCUACGGGAGGCAGCAGGAGGGAAUCUUCGGCAAUGGACGAAAGUCUGGCCGAGCAACGCCGCGUGGGUGAAGAAGGUUUUCGGAUCGUAAAACUCUGUUGGUAGAGAAGAACGUUGGUGAGAGUGGAAAGCUCAUCAAGUGACGGUAACUACCCAGAAAGGGACGGCUAACUACGUG
rnacentral:rRNA from 1 species